AAGACCGCGGGAUGGGGAAUAGGGCCGAGGCCGUGCGCGGUGCCGAUCAUUGACGAGGACAGCCGAGGGGCGGCGGGCAGCGACGAGGGAGGAUGGAAAGGGCGGAGACUGAGCGGAAAGAGCCGAAGCUGAGCCGAUGUCGAGCGAUGGCGGCCGAAAACUGACGGAAGAAUCCGAAGGCCCGAGGGAGGGCUCGAGGGCCACUUGGCGCGUAGACCCAGUCGGGGAGCCGAGGCUGAGGACCGAGCGGAGCGGCGGGACGCAAUGGGAGCGAGCGGGCCGCGCCGAGAGCGGCGGUAGGCCCGGACACGCGGGACACCGAGGACGGCGGGACACCGAGGACGGAGCGGCUGUUGUGAAGCCCAACGCCCACAGGAUGGAAAGUACGGUGUUACUGUACCCUGAUACAUGCCCCCCAUGCUGCGCAGGGAAGUGUCCCUGAGACCAUGGCCAAGCCCCUCGUGGCACCCGGGCACCCGGAGAACCUUACAGACCACAGAGACAAGGCUGGAUCGCAGCUGCCCGAGCCUGGGGGUCGGGAGGACACACAGGGUCCCAGCACAGCAAGAAAGGCAGGCUUUGGGGGGCUGCUCAGAAGCACGUGCUCAGCUGCCCCUGCAGAGACCGGCCGCCCGUCCACCUGCCUCGUUCGGGUCACAUCCGGGGCUUCCUGCUCCCGGGGUGGGGGGCAGCUACAGGCCAGAAAAGACUGCACUCUUGGCUGAAGCAGCAAAGUACAUGACCGUGCACCCAGCUUGACGUCUGGCCCCCUUUGUUGUACUGUGGUCUGUACAGCAAGGGUUCCAGGAAGCUGACGAGGAUGCUAGAAAAUCCUGGGAGGAUAGGUUGGGCCAGGUGUCCCACAGGUGAAAGGCAGGUGAGGAUCACGGCCCUGUCCUCAGCACUCACCCCCACAUGUCAACUGUUUCUUUUCCCACCAGUCACACGAUGACCGUGUACCAACCACUUUACCCUUUUCUCACGUCCUGCCACUAACCAGGGUCCCGGGUACCGCGUUCCCUGUGCUCAGGAGACCCGGGGGGGGGGGGAGGGGAGGGGUCCCACCUUAUCCCCUCCUAGAACAUACCCCGUCCACUGGCUGAGGCACAGAUACCGUGACCGCCGCCCUCAGUGUCCAGGACCGCGCAGACGCAGCAGGGAUUCACAGGAGGUAAGGGAAGCGCCUGCUUACUCUCCCACCCCUGCGUGGUCUGUUGACUGUGGGCUGCAGACACCCACCUUCUCAGGGGACGCUGUGGCACAGAGCAGGACACGGGUUAAUUAAUUGCAGAGUUUGUUAUUUCUUCUAAAUGUUUGUUUUGUUUUGGAAGAGAGAAAGACACAUGGGUUCAGGGUGGCGGAGAACCAAGCAGGCUCUGUGCUGUCACCUUAGACUCCGUCACGGGACUCGAACCCACAGACUAGGAGAUCAUGACCUGAGUUGACAUCCAGAGUCAGACGCCUGCCGGCUGAGCCCCCCAGGCCCCGAGUUUGGAUUCCUACAGCCAGGCCAGAGUUCCUUGUCCCCUCCCCAGCGUCACACACACUCUCUCCCAACGGGAAGGCCCCUUCUGGGGAACUGCUGUGGGAGAGCCCCGAGUCCCCAUCCUGCAUGUGCUCCCUGGGGAGCCGAGCUCCGCUGGUGCACGUGCCUCUCCCACCGGAAGAGUCUGGAACAGUCGUGAGCAGUAGGUCACCCUGCAAGGUGGGACUGGCUGUGCCGACGCUGGAGGCUGUGUCCCUCUCGUGUACGACCAGCAGGACGCUUGGGCCUGUAGGGUGUUUAGCAGGGAUGGCGCCCAGGCCACACGCCCAGAAUGAAAACCUGGGAACACUGUAGGGGACACGGCUUCAGGCCACGGACGGGACAGACUCCCAUGGCACCACGUGGGCACUCACCACCUAGACAUGGACGCACCGUUUCCGGUCUGCGUCUCCACAGCACUGCACUGGGCCAGCUCAGAGGCCUCACGAGUGCACAUUAACUUCGUCUCCUUAUUGCUAGUUCUAGACCAUGAGUUAAAGCUGGAUUCAGAUGCUCUUUACCCAAAAAAUUACAAAAAGAAAACGUUCACCAUAUGCACUUGAGGCAUCACGGUGGCGGCUACUAGAGCUUUCCUGCUCGGCUGGGAACACAGCCAGUGCAGGGCAGUGUCGGGGGGGCAGCUCCGUGUGCAGGGUCUGGUACAGCAGCAGGACGCCCCCUCCUGGGGCGUCCGAGGCUGAGGGAGACGGAGACAUUGGAGCAGAGAGGGAGCCCACACCACACGUGCCGGUCUGCACUGUCUGUUUUUUGUUUUGUUUUGUUUUAACAUUUAUUUAUCAUUGAGAGACACAGAGCGUGAGCCGGAGAGGGGCAGGGAGAGAGGGAGACACAGAAUCCGAAGCAGGCUCCAGGCUCCGAACUGUCAGCACAGAGCCCCACGUGGAGCUCGAACUCACAAACUGGGAGAUCAUGACCUGAGCCGAAGUCGGUCGCCUAACCAACUGAGCCACCCAGGCGCCCCGAACUCACCGUCUGUUCUAAUGCACUUGCACUCAGCCUCACCAAGUGGACUCUGACCAGCAACUAAGGCACCAUUUGGACAGCAGGUUUCAAGCCCGUCCCUUACUAGAGACAGCACUGCAGCGAAGGGGUGGGCGCUCCGUGGGAGGUCCCGUCCUAGGGAGGCGGAGGACACACGGACUCAUCAGCCUCCCCAGGACAGCGAGCCUUCUGCGAAACAGACAGGGGGAACGAUGUCAGAGCUCCGCACUGGGCCACCUGUCUGGAGUAGGUGGGUCACCUUCUAGAAGGACCGCCACGCAUUAUGCCAAGGCUGGUCUCCGACUCCGUUUCAGCCUGCCCUUUGUGGACACGGGGCAGAGCCACUCGAGUGCCCUACACAGAUCAGUGGAGACGGACAGAGAAUCUGGGACUGACCCACACUUACAGGAUCAACUCCUGUUUGACGAAGGUUCCAGGACAGUCCGAUGUGGGAAAACAUGGUCCUUUCAAGAGAAAGUGAUGGGGAAAGUGGACAUCCAUAUGGCCAAAAAAAUAACGUUGAUCCUUGCUUCACACGGUGCAUGACAUAAAUUCCAAAUGGGUCACGUACAUAAUCAUAGAAUCAAACAUGUAGGAGAAACAUGGGAUAAAACAUGCCCUGUAUGUGUCCGGAUGUGCACGCAGUGGAGACGCAUACUUCACAACUUAAUACAGAAUAUACACAGAACGGUUUCCACAAUAACACAAACAAGUCCCCAAGAUGAUGGGAAGACACUUCCCAAAAAAUACACGGUUGCCCAGUAAGUACACAGAAAUGCUCAACUUAUUAGUCGCUGGAGAAAUCUAAAUUAAAACCACGAGAUCCCUAAACACCCACGUGAAUGACUACAGUGAAAAAGACAGACGUGCCACAUGGUGAGGCUUUGGAGCAGUGGGGACUCCUACGCUGCUCACGGGAGCGGUGCUCACACUUUGCAAAACUGCUUUCGUCAGUUUCUUUUAAAAGUUAAAAUACAGGGGGCGCCCAGAUGGCCCAGUUGGUUAAGUGUCUGACUCUUUGUUUCGAUUCGGGUCCUGAUUCGUGAUUUGUGAGAUCGAGCCCCGCGUCAGGCUCUACGCUGACAGCACAGGGCCUACUUGGGAUUCUGGCUCUGCCCCUCCCCUGCUCGUGCAUGCACGGACACACGCGUGCCCUCUCUCUCUCAUAAAAAAAUGAAAGUUAAAAAAGGAAAUGAACUCGCAAUCCUACUUUUAGGGUUGCCAAAACAAAUGAAAUAUAUGUGCACACGCAUGUGUACGUAAAUGUUUACAGCAGUUGUAUUCAUAAUAGCCAAACUUGGGGAAAAAAACACAAACAUCAACUAAUAUAUCUCUACAGUGUAAUAUUACACAUUAAAAAUGGACUUCUGACGUACAUAAUAUCCACGAAUAUCAAAAUUGAUAUGUUGUGCAAAAGCCAGACAGAAAAGAAUACAUAUAAUUCAACAUGUAUGAAACUCUGGAUAAGAUAAAUCUAACCUUCAGUGACAGAAAACAGAUCACUGUUUGCCCGGUGAUGCUGGGGAUAAUUGGGAAGGUCAGGGUCGGUGGGGGGAGGGGGGGUGGAGGGGAGAAGACUGUGGUGACAGAAGUAUUCUGUAUUUUCAUUGUAGUUAUAUUUUUCAGAUAUCGGGGUACCUGGGGGGCUCAGUCGGCUGAGCAGCUGACUCUUGGUUGCAGCUCAGGUCAUGACCUCACAGGUUCGGGAGUUUGAGCCCCACCUCAGGUUCUGUGCUGGCAGCACGGGGCCUGCUUGGGAAUCUCUCUCUCCCACUCUCUCUGUCUCUCCCCACCUGCUCUGUGUCUCUCUCAAAAUAAAAAUCGUAAGCUUUAAAAAAAAAAUUGGUCAGAUAUCAAAACUGGACACUUAAAUUAUGUAUAUUGUAUGUAGAUUAUGGUUCAACCAAGUUCUUUUUUAUUAUUUUUUUAUGUUAUUCUUGAGUGAGAGACAGAGAGAGACAGAGUAUGAGCGAGGGAGGAGCAGACAGAGAGGGAGACACAGAAUCCAAAGCAGGAUCCAGGCUCUGAGCUGUCAGCACAGAGCCUGACGCGGGGCUUGAACCCACAAACCGUGAGAUCACGACCUGAACCGAAGUCAGAGGCUCAACCAACUAAGCCCCCCCCCCAGGUGUCCCCAAGUUCUUUUUUAAAAUAGAGAAUUGACAGCCCAGGAAAAAUAACCUCGAGUUAUGGCCAGUUGGUUCUGACAAUUUACACCAUACAAAUAUUUACUCAAAAUGGAUCAAAGGCCUACAUUUCGGAGCCACAACUACAAAACCGUGAGAAGAAAGCAUAGGAAAGGCCUUCAUGACCUUGAAGUGGGCAGCUUUCUUAAAUAUGGCACCAAACGCAGAGGCAGCGAAAGGAAAAAUAGAUUCAACUUACUAAAAUUAAAUACUUUGCUACAAAGGGCACAGUCAGGAGAUUUAAGCAAUACAGAGCAGCACACGGCUGGCUCAGUUGGUGGAGCGUAGGACUCGAUCUCAGGGUUGUGAGUUCGAGCCCCAUGUUGGGUGUAGAGAUUACUUAAGAAAAUCUUGGGGCCCUAGGGUGGCUCAGUUGGUUAAGCUCAGUCUUGAUUUUUGGCUCAGGUCAUGAUCUCUCGGUUUGUAAGUUCGAGCCCCACACAGGGUUCUGUGCUGACAGUGCAGGAUUCUCUCUGCCCCUCCCCUGCUUUCCCUCCCUCCCUCCCUCUC